rnacentral:RNase_P_RNA from 1 species
CGAGUUGGUCAAGACAAUCGCCGCUUGUUGGCCUUUUGGUACAACAAGGGGAGGAAAGUCCGGGCUCCAAUGGGCAGGGUGCCAGAUAACGUCUGGGCGGCGUGAGCCGACGACAAGUGCAGCAGAGAGAAGACCGCCUAAGUAUAGUUGUUUCGACAACUUUACCGGUAAGGGUGAAAGGGUGCGGUAAGAGCGCACCGGGCCACUGGUAACAGUUGGCAGCAGGGUAAACUCCACCCGGAGCAAGACCAAAUAGGGUUCCUUACGGCGCGGCCCGCGUUGGAACCGGGUAGGUUGCUUGAGCCAGUGAGCGAUUGCUGGCCUAGAUGAAUGAUUGUCACCUUUUUAAGGUUACAGAACCCGGCUUAUUGACCAACUCACUUU